UACGUAGGUGGCAAGCGUUGUCCGGAAUUAUUGGGCGUAAAGCGCGCGCAGGCGGUUCUUUAAGUUGGGUGUCAAAGGCAGCGGCUCAACCGCUGUACGCACCCAAAACUGGAGAACUUGAGUGCAGGAGAGGAUAGUGGAAUUCCCGGUGUAGCGGUGGAAUGCGUAGAGAUCGGGAGGAACACCAGUGGCGAAGGCGACUGUCUGGCCUGUAACUGACGCUGAGGCGCGAAAGCGUGGGGAGCAAACAGG
rnacentral:rRNA from 1 species